rnacentral:rRNA from 1 species
AGGUCCUGCGCCGAAAAUGUCCGGGGCUGAAACACGACACCGAAGCUUAGGAACAGAAAUGUUGGUAGAGGAGCAUUGUUAGCGGAACGAAGCCAUACCGGAAGGAGUGGUGGACUGCUAAGAAGAGAGAAUGCCGGAAUGAGUAGCGAGAUUGAAGUGAGAAUCUUCAAGGCCGAAUAUCUAAGGUUUCCAGGGUAAAGCUGAUCUGCCCUGGGUAAGUCGGGGCCUAAGGCGAGGUCGGAAGACGUAGCCGAUGGACAACAGGUUGAAAUUCCUGUACUGCGAUAUAUCAGAAAUGUGGGGACACAGAAGGAAAGUGUGAGCCGGGAAAGGAAAGACCGGUGCAAGCACAGGAGGAGAGAUACAGGCAAAUCCGUAUUUCAAUCCAAUGGUGUUACGCGGAGCGAACAAAAGUAGCGAAGCACACAGACCAUCUGUCGAGAAAAGCCGCUAUUGUGUAUAUCGUACCCGUACCGUAAACCGACACAGGUGGAUGAGGAGAGAAUCCUAAGGCCGACGGGAGAAGUGUUGUUAAGGAACUCGGCAAAAUGACUCCGUAACUUCGGGAGAAGGAGUGCUGCGCAAGCAGCCGCAGAGAAAUGGCCCAAGCAACUGUUUAGCAAAAACACAGGUCUAUGCGAAACCGAAAGGUGAGGUAUAUGGGCUGACGCCUGCCCGGUGCUGGAAGGUUAAGAGGAGAGGUUAGCGCAAGCGAAGCUUUGAAUUUAAGCCCCAGUAAACGGCGGCCGUAACUAUAACGGUCCUAAGGUAGCGAAAUUCCUUGUCGGGUAAGUUCCGACCCGCACGAAAGGCGUAAUGAUUUGGGCACUGUCUCAACAACACACCCGGUGAAAUUGAAAUACCAGUGAAGAUGCUGGUUACCCGCGCCAGGACGGAAAGACCCCAUGGAGCUUUACUCCAGUUUGAUACUGGGAUUCGGUAUUGCAUGUACAGGAUAGGUGGGAGGCUUUGAAACAUGGACGCCAGUCUGUGUGGAGCCAAUGUUGGGAUACCACCCUUGCGAUAUUGGGUUUCUAACCUGCGCCCGUGACCCGGGCGGGGGACAAUGUCAGGCGGGGAGUUUGACUGGGGCGGUCGCCUCCGAAAGGGUAUCGGAGGCGCUCAAAGGU